rnacentral:tRNA from 179 species
GGGUCGUUAGCUCAGUUGGUAGAGCAGUUGACUCUUAAUCAAUUGGUCGCAGGUUCGAACCCUGCACGACCCACCA